AUGCCGGGUGCUCUCCAUCCAGAGCCAUGUUGUCUGCUCUCCAUCCAGAGCCAUGUUGUCUGUGGCUACGUGGGCUACAGAGCGGCCAUGUUCUCUCUGUAGGUUUUGGGAUUUGAGGUUGAUGCCGUGAACUCCGUGCAGUUUUCAAACCACACAGGCUAGGCUCAUUGGAAGGGCCAGGUACUGAAAUCCCAGGAACUGCAUGAGCUGUGUGAAGGUCUCAAGGCGAACAGUGUCAAUAAGUAUGACUACGUGCUCACUGGUUACACGAGAGACAAGUCCUUCCUGGCCAUGAUGGUGGAUAUUGUGCAGGAGCUGAAGCAACAGAAUUCUCAACUCGUGUAUGUGUGUGACCCUGUGAUGGGCGACAAGUGGAAAGGGGAAGGCUCCACGUAUGUUCCCCAGGACCUCCUUCCCGUUUACAGGGACAAAGUGGUACCCGUGGCUGACAUCAUCACUCCCAACCAGUUUGAGGCUGAGUUGCUGAGUGGCAGAAAAAUCCACAGCCAGGAAGAAGCAUUCGAGGUGAUGGACUUGCUGCACUGUAUGGGUCCUGACACCGUGGUCAUCACCAGCUCUGACCUGCCCUCCCCACAGGGCAGCGACUACCUGAUUGUACUGGGCAGCCAGAGGAUGAGGAAGCCUGAUGGCUCCACCAUGACCCAGCACAUCAGGAUGGAGAUGCGUAAGGUGGACGCCGUCUUUUUGGGCACCGGGGACCUCUUCGCUGCCAUGCUUCUGGCUUGGACACACAAACACCCCGACAAUCUGAAGGUGGCCUGUGAGAAAACGGUGUCUGCCAUGCUGCACGUCCUGCAGAGGACCAUCCAGUGUGCAAAAGCCGAAGCAGGAGAAGGACAGAAGCCCAGCCCCGCUCAGCUGGAGCUGAGGAUGGUCCAGAGCAAAAGGGACAUGGAGGACCCCUAGAUCGUCGUGCAGGCCGCGGUGCUGUGAGGGCCACGCACACUCGGCCCUGACACACAGCGAGCUGAGGGUGUCCAUCUCCAUCCCUGUGAGAAGCUGUAUCGCCUGCCUUAGAGCCCUGACUGAAACUUGACAUCGUGUUCCUUCCUGAGAGUCGGGUCUCAGCCGGUCUCUAUCGUGAAAAUGUGCCAUUGUACUAUUUUUUUUUUUUUAACAAAUGACAAAGCCGUCAUAGAAAUGUGUGAUUCAGACCCAUGGCCCCUUCCCCAAAGGCUCUGGGCCUCUGACUGCCUCGUGUUGCCUCAUAGGUAUGUAGAAGGUAGGUGGAGGAGGCAAGCUUGCUGCCUCUGGGCCCUUCUAUUGGCCACUGGCUGCCAUUGUCCCAUGUGUGUACACAAUCCCUGAUUGUGGACAGACUUUGCCUGUGUCGGCACUGUCUUUAAAGUUGGGUUAGGUCUUAACCUUUGGCAUCGGAAGGAUGACGUCAAAUAUCUUCAUUGCCAUUCUGGUCUUUCCCUUGUUCCUGCCUUGGAGUGUCUGUGUGUGUCUUUGCUGCUCCUUGGGUGUCCAGAAUGUCAGACGUAUACUGCUGUUGGACUGUGUAGGAAAGUUCCCUAUCCCCAUGCUUGGGUAGGUGCACA